rnacentral:lncRNA from 1 species
CUCAGGACUCAGUGCACCAGAAUCUCAAGGACAUGGCAGGCUGCAGGACCCCAGUUGCACCAAACUGCCAUCCCCUCCUGCCUGGUUUCCCUUCUUCAUGAACCGAUCAAUGGGCCAUAGCCAGGUUGGGAUGCAUGUCUUCCACAGGAUGGGAACUACCUCCAGCUGAUCAGUUAACAGUUCAGUUGGGGACCUUUGAGUAAAAUAGAUGACCCUCUAUUAGGUGGUUGGGCCUCUUCCAAUCAGUUGACAGCCUACAGAGAACAAAGACUGAUCUCCCCCCAGCAAGAAGGAAUUCUCCAGCUGAAUGCCUUUGGACUGAAAUGACAACUCUUCCUUGAAUCUCCAGCCUGCCAGCCUACUCUGCAAAUUUUGGACUUACCAAGCCUCCAUGAUUA